UUUCCGUAGGUGAACCUGCGGAAGGAUCAUUAAAAAAUGAGACCUUUUUGAAGGUCUAUUAAUAAUCCUACUCUUUGUGAAUUUGUUGUUUGAAAUAAUUUUUUUAAAAAUUAUUGAAUGUCUUUCCCUGGUUUGUUGGCUUAUAGAAAGUGAACUCAGGGGAAUGGCAAACAAUAAUAUUUGAAAGACCUUUUUUUAAAAUAAACUUUUUGUAUUCAUUUGUCUAAAAUUAUUUUUAUAAUAUAAAAACAACUUUUGACAAUGGAUCUCUUGGUUCUCGCAACGAUGAAGAACGCAGCAAAAUGCGAUAAGUAGUGUGAAUUGCAGAAUACGUGAAUCAUCGAAUCUUCGAACGCAUAUUGCACUUUUUUAGUUUACUAAAAAAGUAUGUCUGUUUGAGUAUCAGUGAAAUAUUCUCAUAAAAACAUUGUUUUUUAUGGUUGUGAGUGUUUUACAACGAUACAAGUUGUUUCACUUUAAAUUCUUUGUCUUUUAAAAAAUCAUUAAAAACUGAUUUUUUUUUAAAAAUUGGAUAAAAUUUUCCCGUAAAAAGGAAUAACCUAAACAAUUUUAAAAUUAAAUUGGUUUGAUUUCUUUUAAGAAUUAAAGGAAAAAAGUAAAAAUUAACUUGAUCUCAAAUCAGAUAAGAGUACCCGCUGAACUUAAGCAUAUCAAUAAGCGGAGGAAAAGAAACUAACAAGGAUUCCCUUAGUAACGGCGAGUGAAGCGGGAAGAGCUCAAAUUUGAAAUCUUCAAGGUUUUACCUUGACGAAUUGUAGUUUGAAGAAGUGUUUUCUGUUGGAGUUUUGGUAAAAGUUCUUUGGAAUAGGACAUCAUAGAGGGUGAGAAUCCCGUAUUUGACCAUUAUUUCCAGCUGUGUGAUACACUUUCAAAGAGUCGGAUUGUUUGGGAAUGCAGUCCAAAAUGGGUGGUAAAUUUCAUCUAAAGCUAAAUACUGGCGAGAGACCGAUAGCGAACAAGUACCGUGAGGGAAAGAUGAAAAGAACUUUGAAAAGAGAGUUAAACAGUACGUGAAAUUGUCAAAAGGGAAGCGUUUGACACCAGUGUAGUUUUCUCGAAAAUCAAUUAAAAAUGAUGGAUUUUGUGUUGUAUUGACUUUAUCAGCUUUCUGCACUUUUUUCUAUCUUUUUUAAUGCACUUUUCGUUUAACAAGUCAACAUCAAUUUCUUUUGUUGUAAAAGAGUCAUUGGAAGGUGGCUUUCUUUUCGGAAAAAGUGUUUAUAGCCUUUGGCUUCUGCAAUCAGAGAGAUUGAGGUCUGCAGCGUAGAUCCUUCGGGUUAGAUACAUUUGUGCUAAGCUAUAGUCUUUCAUAGACAACUUGUUGACUAUGAUCAAUCCUGUAACUUACUCGCUUAUGCUAUUUUACCUACGCUUAGGAUGUUGAG
rnacentral:misc_RNA from 1 species